AACCAUGUAAUUUUCGUACUAUGUUUCAAUAUGAAAGGGUUUUAAACUUGGCAAAUAUUCAUAGUGUAUAUAUAUCCAAAAAUAUGUACCCGUAUGGACGAGCGCAUGCUCUGGAUAUCGAUAUUUUUGUCAGCUAUCGACGACUGUCUUUGCUCGCCAUUUAUUAAGUUGGACGAAGUGAUCUUCGUGAUGGAUGAUAAAGAGGAGGAAGUUUUGUAUUCAGGUAGCAGUAAUGAAUCGCUUGUUAUAGCUCUCCAU
rnacentral:misc_RNA from 1 species